rnacentral:rRNA from 1 species
UACGUAGGUGGCAAGCGUUGUCCGGAAUUAUUGGGCGUAAAGCGCGCGCAGGCGGUUUCUUAAGUCUGAUGUGAAAGCCCCCGGCUCAACCGGGGAGGGUCAUUGGAAACUGGGAAACUUGAGUGCAGAAGAGGAAAGUGGAAUUCCAAGUGUAGCGGUGAAAUGCGUAGAGAUUUGGAGGAACACCAGUGGCGAAGGCGAGUCUCUGGACAUUUCCUAACGCUGAGGCACGAAAGCUAGGGGAGCAAACGGG